rnacentral:rRNA from 1 species
AGAGUUUGAUCCUGGCUCAGGACGAACGCUGGCGGCGUGCCUAAUACAUGCAAGUCGAGCGGACUUAUGCCUUCGGGGAUGAGUUAGCGGCGGACGGGUGAGUAACACGUAGGCAACCUGCCUGGAGGAUCGGGAUAACUAUCGGAAACGAUAGCUAAGACCGAAUAAUUGGCACCUUCGCAUGAAGGUGCCAGGAAACGCGGAGCAAUCUGUGGCCUCUGGAUGGGCCUGCGGCGCAUUAGCUAGUAGGUGAGGUAACGGCUCACCUAGGCGACGAUGCGUAGCCGACCUGAGAGGGUGACCGGCCACACUGGGACUGAGACACGGCCCAGACUCCUACGGGAGGCAGCAGUAGGGAAUCUUCCGCAAUGGACGCAAGUCUGACGGAGCAACGCCGCGUGAGUGAUGAAGGUUUUCGGAUCGUAAAGCUCUGUUGCCCUAGACGAACGAGGUAGAGAGUAACUGCUCUGCCUGUGACGGUAUAGGAGAAGAAAGCCCCGGCUAACUACGUGCCAGCAGCCGCGGUAAUACGUAGGGGGCAAGCGUUGUCCGGAAUUAUUGGGCGUAAAGCGCGCGCAGGCGGUUCAGUAAGUUGGAUGUUUAAAGCCGGGGCUCAACCCCGGUGCGCAUCCAAAACUGGUGGACUUGAGUGUAGGAGAGGAAAGUGGAAUUCCACGUGUAGCAGUGAAAUGCGUAGAGAUGUGGAGGAACACCAGUGGCGAAGGCGACUUUCUGGCCUAUAACUGACGCUGA